UACGAAGGGGGCUAGCGUUGCUCGGAAUUACUGGGCGUAAAGCGUGCGCAGGCGGUUCGUUAUGUCCGAUGUGAAAGCCCCGAGCUCAACUUGGGAAUGGCAUUGGAAACUGGCGGGCUGGAGUGUGGCAGAGGGGGGUGGAAUUCCACGUGUAGCAGUGAAAUGCGUAGAGAUGUGGAGGAACACCGAUGGCGAAGGCAGCCCCCUGGGCCAACACUGACGCUCAGGCACGAAAGCGUGGGGAGCAAACAGG
rnacentral:rRNA from 1 species